rnacentral:rRNA from 1 species
GACGAACGUUGGCGGCGUGCUUAAUACAUGCAAGUCAACUGAAGCAGUGGUAGCAAUAUCGCUGUGGAGGUGGCGCACGGGUGAGUAACACGUAGGUAAUCUGCCUUCAGGUCUGGCAUAACUCCGGGAAACCGGGGCUAAUAGCAGAUGAUGCAGCGGCUCGACAUCGAGACAGUUGUUAAAGCUAUGGCGCCUGAAAAUGAGCCUGCGUCUGAUUAGCUAGUUGGCGGGGUAACGGCCCACCAAGGCAACGAUCAGUAGCUGGUCUGAGAGGAUGAUCAGCCACACUGGAACUGAGACACGGUCCAGACUCCUACGGGAGGCAGCAGUAAGGAAUAUUGCUCAAUGGGAGAAAUCCUGAAGCAGCAACGCCGCGUGAGGGACGAAGGGCUUUUGCUUGUAAACCUCUGUAGUGAGAGAAAAAAAUCCCAAUCUUUGGGACAUGAUGGUAUCUCAAAAGUAAGCCCCGGCUAACUACGUG